UGAGGAAUAUUGGUCAAUGGACGAGAGUCUGAACCAGCCAAGUAGCGUGCAGGAUGACGGCCCUAUGGGUUGUAAACUGCUUUUGUUUGGGAAUAAUCGACAUUACGUGUAAUGUUUUGCAUGUACCAUUCGAAUAAGGACCGGCUAAUUCCGUGCCAGCAGCCGCGGUAAUACGGAAGGUCCAGGCGUUAUCCGGCUUUAUUGGGUUUAAAGGGAGUGUAGGCGGUUGGUUAAGCGUGUUGUGAAAUGUAGAUGCUCAACAUCUGACUUGCAGCGCGAACUGGCUGACUUGAGUACACACAACGUAGGCGGAAUUCAUGGUGUAGCGGUGAAAUGCUUAGAUAUCAUGAAGAACUCCGAUUGCGAAGGCAGCUUACGGGAGUGUUACUGACGCUUAAGCUCGAAGGUGCGGGUAUCGAACAGG
rnacentral:rRNA from 1 species